rnacentral:rRNA from 1 species
UACAGAGGUCUCAAGCGUUGUUCGGAUUCAUUGGGCGUAAAGGGUGCGUAGGUGGCGGGGUAAGUCAGGUGUGAAAUCUCGGAGCUCAACUCCGAAACUGCACUUGAUACUGCCUUGCUGGAGUACUGGAGAGGAGAUUGGAAUUUACGGUGUAGCAGUGAAAUGCGUAGAUAUCGUAAGGAACACCUGUGGCGAAAGCGGCUCACUGGACCAUUACUGACGCUGAUGCACGAAAGCUAGGGGAGCAAACAGG